GUAGUUUGAAUCCAUGUUCUUGGG
rnacentral:piRNA from 1 species